rnacentral:rRNA from 1 species
AUCUAUGGCCAUAACACUCUGAACACAUGCCUGAUCUCAGAAGCUUAGCAGGGUCGGGCCUGGUUAGUACUUGGAUGGGAGAAUUUAUCACAAAUCAUGAUGGAGAUG